rnacentral:rRNA from 1 species
UACGAAGGGGGCUAGCGUUGCUCGGAAUUACUGGGCGUAAAGGGAGCGUAGGCGGAUAGUUCAGUCAGAGGUGAAAGCCCAGGGCUCAACCUUGGAAUUGCCUUUGAUACUGGCUGUCUUGAGUAUGGGAGAGGUUAGCGGAACUCCGAGUGUAGAGGUGAAAUUCGUAGAUAUUCGGAAGAACACCAGUGGCGAAGGCGGCUAACUGGCCCAUUACUGA